UCUUAUCAAGAGAGGUGGAGGGAAAGGGCCCGAUGAAACCCGGCAACCGAUGUUAUGUACAUUAUGGUGCCAAUUCCUGCAGUUAUACUGCGAGAUAAG
rnacentral:ncRNA from 1 species